CUGGUAUGGGGACCAAGGGCAAAAGGAUCAGUGAUUUCAGCAGAUGCCUUUGAGCCCCGAGUCUCUGGCUGUGGACUAGUCCAGUAGAAAGAGUGUCUUGGAGUGUGGCAGAGUCCCAGUCCCCUGUCUUUCUUACUGUCAAAACCAAGGUUUGGGCAAUCGAUGAUCUAGCUAAAAAAACGAUGUUUUUCAGCCUGUCCUUUCUGGGCUCCUCCUGUCCCAAACACAGAUGUGAAGCAAUGUGCGAGAAUUCCUAUUCUACAAUCGCUGUGUAUAUUUAACACUAUGAAGCUUCUCUUUUUUGCCAGUCUGACGGAUAUGAUGGGGCAUCGCUUACUGCUUUCAUUCCCAUUUCCUUCAUCAUCAUUGAGGGUCUGGGAGAGAGCUUUGGGAUCGAGAC
rnacentral:lncRNA from 10 species